rnacentral:rRNA from 1 species
AUCGCAGUCUGCAACUCGACUGCGUGAAGGUGGAGUCGCUAGUAAUCGCGGAUCAGCAACGCCGCGGUGAAUGCGUUCCCGGGCCUUGUACACACCGCCCGUCAAGUCAUGAAAGUGGGCAGCACCCGAAGACGGUGGCCUAACCCUUGUGGGGGGAGCCGUCUAAGGUGAGGCUCGUGAUUGGGACUAAGUCGUAACAAGGUAUC